AUUGAACGCUGGCGGCAGGCCUAACACAUGCAAGUCGAACGGGUGGCGGACGGGUGGGUAAUGUCUGGGAAACUGCCUGAUGGAGGGGGAUGACUGCUGGAAACGGUGGCUAAUACCGCAAACCAUCAUAUGUGCCCAGACGGGAUUAGCUAGUUGGUGGGGUAACGGCUCACCAAGGCGACGAUCCAUAGCUGGUCUGAGAGGAUGACCAGCCACACUGGAACUGAGACACGGUCCAGACUCCUACGGGAGGCAGCAGUGGGGAAUAUUGCACAAUGGGCGCAAGCCUGAUGGAGCCAUGCCGCGUGAAUGAAGAAGGCCUUCGGGUUGUAAAGUACUUUCAGCGGGGAGGCGGUACCCGAAGAAGAAGCACCGGCUAACUCCGUGCCAGCAGCCGCGGUAAUAC
rnacentral:rRNA from 1 species